UCUUUUCAUGGCCUGUUUAUAAAUUAAUCUGCUCUUCAUCUACAUCCCUGAUUGCCAUUUUCUAUUUUAAUCAUUUACUACAGUGUCAUACCUUCCCAAUAGACCUAUAUAUUUUUCCUCCUUAAAAACAUUAAAUUCUACCUUUGUCGAAAUUUAACCUCCAUAUCCUACUGUGCAUGUCUAUAUAUUUUUUUCGAGUUGUUUUAUUCUUAUUAUCAUUAUCAUAUAUUGUUAUUAUUAUCAGAACAUAAGAACGUAAGGAGUCUGCAAGAGGCCGGUGGGUCUGUACAAGGCAGCUCCUGUGAACCUAACCCCACCUUCCCUCACUAUCCAUAAAGUUAUCUAAUCUCUUUUUGAAUGUGACUAUCGUAUCGGCACUCACACCAUGACUGCCAAGCCUGUUCCUCUCAUCCACCAUUCUGCUCGUAAACCAAUUUUUGCAUAUGUCCUUGUUGAAUCUGAAUUUAUCCAGCUUAGACCCAUUACUACGUGUCCUGCCCAGUUCUCUUAUCCUCAGAACCUUAUUAAUAGCCCCCUUAUUAAAGCCAUUCAUCCAUUUAUAAACUUCCAUCAAGUCUCCUCGCACCCUUCGCCUAUAGAGAGAAAGCAAGUUCAAUUCUUUAAGUCUUACUGGUGGUGAUGGUGAGGCAGACGUGACGUAUUGGUGAUGGUGAUGCAGGUGUUAAGUAUUGGUGGUGGUGGAGGUGGUGAUGGUGUUAAUAAUGGUGAUGGUGAGGCAGACGUGACGAAUUAGUGAUGGUGAUGCAGGUGUUAAGUAUUGGUGGUGGUGGUGGUGAUGGUGUUAAUAAUGGUGAUGGUGAGGCAGACGUGACGUAUUAGUGAUGGUGAUGAUGGUGUUAAUAAUGGUGAUGGUGAGGCAGACGUGACGUAUUAGUGAUGGUGAUGAUGGUGUUAGUAAUGGUGAUGGUGAGGCAGACGUGACGUAUUAGUGAUGGUGAUGAUGGUGUUAGUAAUGGUGAUGGUGAUGCAGACGUGACGUAUUAGUGAUGGUGAUGAUGGUGUUAGUAAUGGUGAUGGUGAGGCAGACGUGACGUAUUAGUGAUGGUGAUGAUGGUGUUAAUAAUGGUGAUGGUGAGGCAGACGUGAAUCAAACAAAUACGCAGCAAAUACCCGAAUGUCCUUCCAUCCCCACGUGUCUAAGCUGGGCAUACGGUACAAACCUGAAACUUACCUAAUUAACCUAUGCCCUUACCUGCCCAUGCCCUUCCCCCCCUCCCCUCCUCCUCUUCCUUGCUUUCUAACUCCAUCCCUUCCUCCUACUCCUCCUCCUUCUCCUUCUCAUCCUGUUCCUCCUACUCAUCCUAAUCCUGUUUUCCUUCUGGUGGUGCUGGUGGUGUUAGUCCUCCUCCUCCUCCUCCUCCUCCUCCUCCUCCUCCAGUUACCCGU